UAAAGGUAUUCCGGUAGACGAUGGGGAUGCGUUCCAUUAGAUAGUAGGCGGGGUAACGGCCCACCUAGUCUUCGAUGGAUAGGGGUUCUGAGAGGAAGGUCCCCCACAUUGGAACUGAGACACGGUCCAAACUCCUACGGGAGGCAGCAGUGAGGAAUAUUGGUCAAUGGGCGAGAGCCUGAACCAGCCAAGUAGCGUGAAGGAUGACUGCCCUAUGGGUUGUAAACUUCUUUUAUAAAGGAAUAAAGUCGGGUAUGGAUACCCGUUUGCAUGUACUUUAUGAAUAAGGAUCGGCUAACUCCGUGCCAGCAGCCGCGGUAAUACGGAGGAUCCGAGCGUUAUCCGGAUUUAUUGGGUUUAAAGGGAGCGUAGAUGGAUGUUUAAGUCAGUUGUGAAAGUUUGCGGCUCAACCGUAAAAUUGCAGUUGAUACUGGAUAUCUUGAGUGCAGUUGAGGCAGGCGGAAUUCGUGGUGUAGCGGUGAAAUGCUUAGAUAUCACGAAGAACUCCGAUUGCGAAGGCAGCCUGCUAAGCUGCAACUGACAUUGAGGCUCGAAAGUGUGGGUAUCAAACAGGAUUAGAUACCCUGGUAGUCCACACGG
rnacentral:rRNA from 1 species